rnacentral:rRNA from 1 species
AGCGAACGCUGGCGGCAGGCUUAACACGUGCAAGUCGAACGGGCGUAGCAAUACGUCAGUGGCAGACGGGUGAGUAACGCGUGGGAACGUACCUUUUGGUUCGGAACAACCCAGGGAAACUUGGGCUAAUACCGGAUAAGCCCUUACGGGGAAAGAUUUAUCGCCGAAAGAUCGGCCCGCGUCUGAUUAGCUUGUUGGUGAGGUAACGGCUCACCAAGGCGACGAUCAGUAGCUGGUCUGAGAGGAUGAUCAGCCACAUUGGGACUGAGACACGGCCCAAACUCCUACGGGAGGCAGCAGUGGGGAAUAUUGGACAAUGGGCGCAAGCCUGAUCCAGCCAUGCCGCGUGAGUGAUGAAGGCCCUAGGGUUGUAAAGC